rnacentral:lncRNA from 1 species
GGCGCUUUGCCCUUUGGGGAGCGGAGCCAAGGAACAGCGCCAACCUCUCUCCACAAGCCAGGGACCCUACGACCCACCGCCGCAGAUGCUGUGGAAGAGAUUCUGGGAGAAUCCUGAGGACCCCCCAGUUGCAGCCAUGUCAAGACUGAUGCUGAGGAGGACCCCAACUGUCACGAGCAACACCCGUCGAACACAGCCACCUACUUGGGGAAAGAUCAAGAAGCUGUCACAGAUGGUGGAAGAAAACCUGAGGAAAGCGGGACAACCAGUCACAAUGAGUAAUUUAAUGAUAGCUAUGAGAGCGGUGAUCACCAUUGCUUCUGCAGAUGCAGAUCCUGACUCCUGCGAGAAGUAGCUCACCGUGAUAAAGCUGCCUUUGCUUUUAUUGCCCUGCAAAAACAAGAAGGGGGAUAUGCUGGGGAAUAGGCCCCCAAAUCUGGACAUAAACUGGCCCCAAAACUGGCCAUAAACAAAAUCUCUGCAGCGCUGUGACAUGUUCAUGGUGGCCAUAACGCCCAUGCUGGAAGGCUGUGGUUUACCGGAAUGAGAGCGAGGAACACCUGGCCUAUCCAGGGCGGAAAACCACUUAUAGGUAUUCCUAAACCACAAACAACCUAUGCCUUAAGGACAUGUUCCUGCUGCAGAUAACUAGCCAGAGCCCAUCCCUUUGUUUCGGCCCAUCCUUUUGUUUCCUGUAAGGAGUGCUUUUAGUUAAUCUAUAAUCUAUAGAAACAAUACUUAUCACUGGCUUGCUGUCAAUAAAUAUGUGGGUAAAUCUCUGCUCAUGGCUCUCAGCUCUGAAGGCUGUGAGUCCCCUGAUUUCCCACUCCACAUGCUA